GCGCGCGCUCAGCUCGGCGAGCGUGUCGUUCAUCGACGCGAGCGCCUGCCCCGCGCGGUUCAGAUUCGCGACGAGCGGCCC
rnacentral:tRNA from 1 species